rnacentral:rRNA from 1 species
AUUGAACGCUAGCGGCAUGCCUAACACAUGCAAGUCGAACGGCAGCACGAGGAGCUUGCUCCUUGGUGGCGAGUGGCGGACGGGUGAGUAACGCGUAGGAAUCUGCCUCGUAGUGGGGGACAACCCGGGGACACUCGGGCUAAUACCGCAUAAUCUCUUCGUAGCCAAGUUGGGGACCUUCGGGCCUAACACUACGACAUGAGCCUGCGUUGGAUUAGCUAGUUGGUGGGGUAAAGGCCUACCAAGGCGACGAUCCAUAGCUGGUCUGAGAGGACGACCAGCCACACUGGGACUGAGACACGGCCCAGACUCCUACGGGAGGCAGCAGUGGGGAAUAUUGGACAAUGGGCGAAAGCCUGAUCCAGCAAUGCCGCGUGUGUGAAGAAGGCCUUCGGGUUGUAAAGCACUUUUAGUGGGGAAGAAAAAGACAAGGAUAAUACCCUUGGAAAUUGACGUUACCCACAGAAAAAGCACUGGCUAACUUUGUGCCAGCAGCCGCAGUAA